rnacentral:snoRNA from 1 species
AAUCUGUGUUGUGGGCAUUGGCGAAGAAAACCCUUGUAUCGUUCCCAAGCCUCUAAAUAGCAUUCUGAGUCCAAUUGCUGAAAAGUAGUGAUCUCGUCCCGUACCUU